rnacentral:rRNA from 1 species
AUUGAACGCUGGCGGCAUGCCUUACACAUGCAAGUCGAACGGCAGCACGGUAGCUUGUUGCUCGUGCGGGGUGGCGGACGCGUGCGUAAUACGUCGGCAUCGGUCCUGACGUUGUCGUUAGGGCGGCGGUAGCGGGACUUAUGCUGCUAACGCAUACGGGCUGAGGGCGGGAGCCGUUGGUCUUCCGCCCUUGCGCGUUGGCAGAUGGCGGAUUAGCUAGUUGGUGGGGUAAAGGCCUACCAAGGCGACGAUCAGUAGCUGGUCUGAGAGGACGACCAGCCACACUGGAACUGAGACACGGCCCAGACUCCUACGGGAGGCAGCAGUGGGGAAUAUUGGACAAAGGGCGAAAGCCUGAUCCAGCAAUGCCGCGUGGGUGAAGAAGGCCUUCGGGUUGUAAAGCACUUUUGUCCGGAAAGAAAUCCUUGGCCCUAAUACGGUCGGGGGAUGACGGUACCGGAAGAAUAAGCACCGGCUAACUACGUG